AUCGGCCAGUGUGGUCCAACCUAACUAUCAGUAUCAGUAAAAUCCGCUAUCGGUCGACCUCUAGUUAAUAUGUGCAGAUUUUUGCAACGUGAAUCUGGACAAACAGCAGCACCAGCAGUGGAAGCGCAGAGGAGAGCGGAGCGAACCGUACCGUUCUGAGCCUCGAUGACGGCCGGCUCCACCUGGUCCAAAUCCUGCUUCACGCUCAGCUGCUUGACUUUAAUCACUUCCUGCUGCUUGUAAACCGCUUCCUGUAUAUCCUGACUCAUGACCUGUUAAGCCAAACAACACCAGUCAGGUUAUUUACGAGAGCAGCGGCACAAGAGCACUGAAGCGAUGUUCUGAACGACGACUCUUGCCUUCUUCUUCUCGGCCUCCUGCUGGUCUUUCACCAUCUUCUUCAGCUUGUCGUUGGCAGCAGCGUUCUUGACCUCCAGCUCCUGACUCUUGAUCCGCAGGUCGCGCCGCAGCUCCUCCACCUGUGACGUCACACGGUUAAUAACGCUAAACGAGCUCAUGCGUCUGCACGCGUGAUGUCGUGUGAAGCGCGCACCUGAUCGACGGUCUCUUUGAUUUUGCGCAGACCCACGUUCAGAUGCAUCUGCUGCUCCUCCAGCUCGCUGCGCUUCUCGUUGAACAGGUUGGCGUAGUGGUUGAUGAAGUCCAGGUAGUGUCGCGGGGUGAUGGCCAUAGUGCGGCCGCCGCGCUUCGCCAGACGGUUGUUAGCCUAACACACACACACAGAGAAAUAAAGCAUCACAGCAUGCUCUGAAAGCAGUAUGCACCUCAUCAGACGGCGAGCGAGACGCUCUUCUGACCUGGGCUUUGUCACGGUCGAUGUUAGGAAAGUGUUUGAGGGCGACCAUGUUUAUGUUCUCAUCUGUCCAGCGUCUCUCCUCAUCCUCCACCAAUCUGCCGGGAGAAUCAGUUCAAUCCGUGUGCAAUGUCACAAGAACGAACACAUACUUAUAGGUUUGCUGCUGAUGCACAUUUUGGUACGCUCUGAAAUGCAACAUUGUUCCAAAACAGGAACCAAAAUUGCAACAGUGAUCUACAGGUCUGAAAAGAGCCUUAAAGGGAUAGUUCACCCCAAAUUGAAAAUUACGCCAUGAUUUACUCACCCUCAAGGCAUCCUAGGUGUGUAUGACUUUCUUCUUUCAAAUGAAUCCAGUCGGAGUUAUAUAAAAAAUGUCCUGGCUUUCCGAGCUUUAUAAUUACAGUGGGUGGAUUUUUUAUUUUUUUUUAAUAGUCCAAAAGAAGUCCAAUAAAGCGCAUCCAUCCAUAAUAAAAAGUGCCAAAGUUUCUGUACUUUAGCAAAGGCAAACCAGUCUCCUCUUGGCUUGUAUCGAAAUCCUCAUUUUCUUUACAAAUCCUCGUUUCGUACUUCUAAUUCGUGACUGGCGUUUUGUUUUGCUCUCUCCGCUGCGCUUCCUCGUUCAUCACGAAUCAGCUGACGCUACGCCGACAUCCUACAUCAUCUGCCGGAAUGGUGUUCCAUUGUGAAUGCGCGUACGAGUUAGCAUCAGUUCAAUCCGUGUGCAAUGUCACAAGAACGAACACAUACUUAUAGGUUUGCUGCUGAUGCACAUUUUGGUACGCUCUGAAAUGCAACAUUG
ensembl:lncRNA